rnacentral:rRNA from 1 species
UAGGGAAUCUUCCGCAAUGGGCGAAAGCCUGACGGAGCAACGCCGCGUGAGUGAUGAAGGUCUUCGGAUCGUAAAACUCUGUUAUUAGGGAAGAACAAAUGUGUAAGUAACUAUGCACGUCUUGACGGUACCUAAUCAGAAAGCCACGGCUAACUACGUGCCAGCAGCCGCGGUAAUACGUAGGUGGCAAGCGUUAUCCGGAAUUAUUGGGCGUAAAGCGCGCGUAGGCGGUUUUUUAAGUCUGAUGUGAAAGCCCACGGCUCAACCGUGGAGGGUCAUUGGAAACUGGAAAACUUGAGUGCAGAAGAGGAAAGUGGAAUUCCAUGUGUAGCGGUGAAAUGCGCAGAGAUAUGGAGGAACACCAGUGGCGAAGGCGACUUUCUGGUCUGGAACUGACGCUGAUGUGCGAAAGCGUGGGGAUCAAACAGG